rnacentral:lncRNA from 1 species
AAUGGCUUGAAAUUUCAUUUCAGCACCCGAUGUUUCCUUCAGCUUGAGAUAACAAACUAUAGAACACCACUGUUUCAGUUCAGCAAACUUUUACUUUAACAAACUUUUUCCUGACGUCUCUUGAAGUUCGUUGAAGUGAAGUUUCACUCGACAAUGCCCACGAAAAA